rnacentral:lncRNA from 1 species
UAAAAGAGCAGACAGCUGCUUGUACUGGCAAGAGAAUGAGAAGAGCUUGUCAGCACUCACUCUUCUACCCUUCCUCAGCUGAAUCACCACCGUCUUCCUCUUUACCUCAUUUUGCUCUCUCUUUGCCUGGUCCAGGAGCAUAGAGGCCAUCACCCUACCCUUUUGCCUCCAACUCUGGGAAAACAGAACAGUCUAAUCUCUCUUUCUCUGGUUAAACCUGCAUAAGUCUCAACUCUAAUACUUUAAGCAAGUCUGACAGUUGAUAAACUUCACCUUGACUCAUAAUCAUCCUGUCAAUCUCUCUCUUUAACAAACAUACAGAUCACUCAAUGUUCCAAGAUUCAUGUAAAAAGAAGUCUUUUGUUUUAAUCACUGAGAACUUCCGGAGAAAAGAAGAAAGUUCUUCAUGGAUCUGAUGCCUACAUGCUAUCUGCCUGGGUGCCACUGGAGCUCUGAAUUUUACAUACCAGGAGAAGAUUAGGACACCUAGAGAGACACUAGGGGUUCCUUUGCACAGAAGAAAGGCCACAUGAAGAUGGGGACACAGCAAGAAGGCAGCGGCAGCAAGCAAAGGAGAGAGGCCUCUGAGGAAACCAACCCUGCCAAACACCUGCUGCUUGGACUUCUAGCGUCCAGAACUGUGGACUCUUAUCAAUACCGAACAUUGAAAUCUGGAGGCUCGGCCAUCAGAACUCUUACACAGCACAGAAGACGAGUUUCACGGGUCACUCAGCAUCUACUGGAAGGAUGGAAAAAAUCAAGAAUUUGGCACCCUAAACACAACAUGAGAAGGUUUCACUCAGUAAUGGCCUCCUGAAAACAACUUAAUCUUCUUGGACAAGACUCUGAACUGAAAUCAAGGUUUCAAAAUAUUUUGUUGUGAGUGAUGAAGCUGUCUGGACCUAACUUUUCCGAGAGGCCAAGAAACCAUUCUGUAAUCCUGCAAAAUGGUUUCUGAAGAGUCUGGUGAAAUGCAACUGUUAUCCCUCACUUUGCAUUUUGCUCCAACGAUUCUGAGGUGCAACUUAUGGAUGAGACUGAUUUCUUUCCAUAUUGCUGUAGUAAAUUGGUUUUUGUUGUUUUCAUGGGCUUUGUAAAUCUUGCUGAUAAAAUCCAUAAGUGAUUUGCUAACAUAAAAGCUAACUGGAGAAACAUAAAAAAUAAUUCAAAAAUCAUUUCAUCUUAUCAACUGGAUUAAAAUUAAAAUUAUUAGAAAUACUAAUGAUAGUAUUUCUUUCCAGAGUGGUAAUGGAGUUUUUUUCCUUUUUAUUAAUAGCCCUUAAUGUAUCUUAUGGGAACAAUUAAUAGACAUUCUUCAAACUCCUUCAGAAAGCCCAAUGACAAGUGGCAUUUUUACCAGCGAGAUUCUCAGCGAAUAUAUAAUUCUUUGUCAAUAUUCAAAUUAAGGCAGAAACUCUAGAGUCUGAUCUGUAUCUAUUUCAUCUUUUAAAUGUGUUGAAAGGCCUCUGAGUGCAUCUUAAGCAGUUGGUAAAUAUUUUUCAGGUCAUCACAUACAGGAACUGGACCCCAGUUUUUCCUAAAAAAAUAUGUAUGUACAGAUGACAGAAAAAAAAUUGCCUUCAGAAAAUGGAACCCAUGUGCCAAGGCCUGGUCAGUAAAAAAAUCCCUAAUUUUUGCUUGUUUUAUAAUUUGUCUUAGGUUUUCUCUGACACUAGUGGAUUUCUUUUUUAAGGCAGUCAUAGUUCUAAUACUGUUCAGGCCUUGAAAAAUCCAAUCUAGGCUGGAUUAUGGUGGCUCACACUUGUAGUCCCAGCACUUUUGGAGCUCUGGGUAGAAGGAUCGCUUGAGGCCAGGAGUUUGAGACCAGCCUGGGAAACACAGCAAGAACUAUUUCUACAAAAGAUUUUAAAAAAUUAACUGGGCAUGGUGGUUUGCACCUGUAGUCCUAGGUACUUGUGAAGCUGAGGUGGGAGGAUCACUCAAGCCCAGAAGUUGGAGGCUGCAGUGAGCCAUGACUGCACCACUGUACUCCAGCCUGGGUGAUGGUGCAAGACCCCAACUCUAAAAAAAUAAAAAUAAACAGUCUGAUGAAGAGUCUUUUGAUAUUCUUAUUUCUUUCACUAUUCAGCUUUGGCAUCUCUCCCCCAGCACUGCUCUUGUGUUCUAGUGGUGUCAGACAUAAAUACACACACACCGCUUUUCACCAAUGCCUCUACUUCUUGGGUGGCAGAACCUCUUAUUAUACUUCACUGAUGUUCCAGGAGAUUGAAAAACCAGGGAAAUGCAAUUCUUGCCUAUUUAUUUUUAAAGUUUGAAAAUGGUGGACCUGACUGUUACCCCUUAAUUAAUUAUUUAGAAAGGCGACUUUCUCUUUGGAGGUUCCCAAACCCUGUAUUAAACCUCACCACUGCUAAGCACUUAAAUGUUUGCUUACUAAGGAUAAUAUUUUAGGAAGAAAGACAUCAUAUGAAUUCAGGUACCGUAUGCUUGGAUAAUCUUAGAAAUCCCUAUCAGAGCUAACAUUUUUUGACCAACAUUUAUUACGAAAUCUUCCAAAGAGGGUCUAAAAUCAUAGCUGCAACUUUAAACAACAGUGACGAUGCCAAUCUGUAACAAAACUUCUGAUUUUUAUAAUGACCUUCCUCCCUCCCUCCCUUACUUCCUUUUCCAACAAUCUGUAACAAAACUGUUGGUUUUUAUAAUGACCCUUCCUUCCUUUCAUCUGUAACAAAACUGUUGGUUUUUAUAAUGACCCUUCCUUCCUUCCUUCCUUCCUUCCUUCCUCCCUCCCUCCCUCCCUCCCUCCCUCCCUCCCUCCCUCCUUUCCUUUCGAUGGGGUCUCCUUUGUAGCCUAGGCUGGAGUGCACUAGGGUGAUCAUGGCUCAUUGCAGCCUCUGCCUCCUGGGCUCAAGUGAUCCUCCCACCUCAGACUCCAAAGUAGCUAGAACCACAGGUGCACACCACCAUGCCCUGCUAAUUUUUUGUAUUUUUGGUAGAGAGAGUGUUUUUGUGAUGUUGCCCAGGCUAGUCUCAAACUCCUGAGCUCAAGUGAUCCACCUGCCUCGGCCUCCCAAAACUGGGAUUGAUUACAGGUGUGAGCCACCAUGCCUGGCCAUGACAUGUUUUUUAAAAUCAACCUCAGAGAACUAAAUUUAAUAGUAGGAAGAUAUUUUUGAGCAUUUCUCUUUUUAAAAAGAGAAAUUAAAAAACCACACUCACUUCCAUCAUGUUUCCCCUACUCAUUCUUCACUUAGUGACAUAAAACUCAAACAUUUUUAUCAGCACCAUGAGGCUUUAUAAAAGCAGAUCUUAAAAACUCCACUGAGUUUAGGUAAAGAUAACAGUAUGGAGAAAUAAGUCAGAGCUGAAUUCCUAAGAAGAGAAAGAGC